GGCCUCAAAUCAAGCAAGACUACCCGCUGAACUUAAGCAUAUCAGUAAGCGGAGGUAAAGAAACUAACAAGGAUUCCCCUAGUAACGGCGAGUGAAGCGGGAAUAGCUCAAAUUUAAAAUCUCGGCGUUUUACGUCGCGAAUUGUAGUCUAAAGAGGGUGAUCUAGGGUCGGCGAUUUGCUCAAGUCCCUUGGAAUAGGGCGCCAGAGAGGGUGAGAGCCCCGUGAAAGCAUGUCGCUGGCCUCAAGUGAGAACCUCUCAACGAGUCGAGUUGUUUGGGAAUGCAGCUCAAAGUGGGUGGUAAAUCUCAUCUAAGGCUAAAUACUGGCAAGAGACCGAUAGCGAACAAGUACCGUGAGGGAAAGAUGAAAAGCACCUUGAAAAGGGAGUUAAAUAGUGCGUGAAAUUGUUAAAAGGGAAACGA
rnacentral:rRNA from 1 species